AACGCGAAGAACCUUACCAAGGCUUGACAUAUACCGGAAACGGCCAGAGAUGGUCGCCCCCUUGUGGUCGGUAUACAGGUGGUGCAUGGUUGUCGUCAGCUCGUGUCGUGAGAUGUUGGGUUAAGUCCCGCAACGAGCGCAACCCUCGUUCUGUGUUGCCAGCGGGUUAUGCCGGGGACUCACAGGAGACUGCCGGGGUCAACUCGGAGGAAGGUGGGGACGACGUCAAAUCAUCAUGCCCCUUAUGUCUUGGGCUGCACACGUGCUACAAUGGCCGGUACAAUGAGCUGCGAUACCGCGAGGUGGAGCGAAUCUCAAAAAGCCGGUCUCAGUUCGGAUUGGGGUCUGCAACUCGACCCCAUGAAGUCGGAGUUGCUAGUAAUCGCAGAUCAGCAUUGCUGCGGUGAAUACGUUCCCGGGCCUUGUA
rnacentral:rRNA from 1 species